GACGAACGCUGGCGGCGUGCUUAACACAUGCAAGUCGAACGGAAAGGCCUGCUUUCCCUUGUGGAUUGCGGGUACUCGAGUGGCGAACGGGUGAGUAACACGUGAGUGAUCUGCCCCCAACUUGGGUAUAAGCCUGGGAAACUGGGUCUAAUUCCCGAUAGGACUGCAGGGUGGUGCCUGUGGUGGAAAACGAUUUUCUAGUGGUUGGGGAUGAGCUCGCGGCCUAUCAGCUUGUUGGUGGGGUAAUGGCCUACCAAGGCGGCGACGGGUAGCCGGCCUGAGGGGGGACGGCCACAUUGGGACUGAGAUACGGCCCAGACGCCUACGGGAGGCAGCAGUGGGGAAGAUUGCACAAUGGGCGGAAGCCUGAUGCAGCGACGCCGCGUGGGGGAUGACGGCCUUCGGGUUGUAAACUCCUUUCGACCGCGAGGAAGCCACCUGGUUGGAAGGGUGGUGACGGUAGUGGUAGAAGAAGCACCGGCUAACUACGUG
rnacentral:rRNA from 1 species